CGAACGAAGCCUUUCGGGUUUNAGUGGCGCACGGGUGCGUAACGCGUGGGAAUCUACCCCUUUGGUUCGGAAUAACAGUUGGAAACGACUGCUAAUACCGGAUGAUGACGUAAGUCCAAAGAUUUAUCGCCGAGGGAUGAGCCCGCGUAGGAUUAGGUAGUUGGUGUGGUAAAGGCGCACCAAGCCGACGAUCCUUAGCUGGUCUGAGAGGAUGAUCAGCCACACUGGGACUGAGACACGGCCCAGACUCCUACGGGAGGCAGCAGUGGGGAAUAUUGGACAAUGGGCGAAAGCCUGAUCCAGCAAUGCCGCGUGAGUGAUGAAGGCCUUAGGGUUGUAAAGCUCUUUUACCCGGGAUGAUAAUGACAGUACCGGGAGAAUAAGCUCCGGCUAACUCCGUGCCAG
rnacentral:rRNA from 1 species